rnacentral:rRNA from 1 species
CCUACGGGAGGCAGCAGUGAGGAAUAUUGGUCAAUGGACGAGAGUCUGAACCAGCCAAGUAGCGUGAAGGAUGACUGCCCUAUGGGUUGUAAACUUCUUUUAUAUGGGAAUAAAACGUUCCACGUGUGGGAUUUUGUAUGUACCAUAUGAAUAAGGAUCGGCUAACUCCGUGCCAGCAGCCGCGGUAAUACGGAGGAUCCGAGCGUUAUCCGGAUUUAUUGGGUUUAAAGGGAGCGUAGGUGGAUUGUUAAGUCAGUUGUGAAAGUUUGCGGCUCAACCGUAAAAUUGCAGUUGGAACUGGCAGUCUUGAGUACAGUAGAGGUGGGCGGAAUUCGUGGUGUAGCGGUGAAAUGCUUAGAUAUCACGAAGAACUCAGAUUGCGAAGGCAGUUCACUGGACUGCAACUGACACUGAGGCUCGAAAGUGUGGGUAUCAAACAGGAUUAGAUACCCCGGUAGUC